rnacentral:rRNA from 1 species
AUACGGAGGGUGCAAGCGUUACUCGGAAUCACUGGGCGUAAAGCGCGCGCAGGCGGCUAUUUAAGUUGGAUGUGAAGCCUACGGCUCAACCGUAGAACUGCAUCCAAAACUAUUUAGCUAGAGUGUGGGAGAGGAAGAUGGAAUUAGUUGUGUAGAGGUAAAAUCCGUAGAGAUAACUAGGAAUACCAAAAGCGAAGGCAAUCUUCUGGAACACUACUGACGCUGAGGCGCGAAAGCGUGGGGAGCAAACAGGAUUAGAUACCCCAGUAGUCC